rnacentral:rRNA from 1 species
UACAUGUGGGGCAAGCGUUGUUCGGAAUUACUGGGCAUAAAGGGUGCGUAGGCGGCUUGUUAAGUUAGGGGUGAAAUCCCACGGCCCAACCGUGGAACUGCCUUUGAUACUGGCGAGCUUGAGUGCGUGAGGGGUAACCGGAACGAGUAGUGUAGCGGUGAAAUGCGUAGAUAUUACUCGGAAGGCCAAAGGCGAAGGCAGGUUACUGGUACGCAACUGACGCUGAGGCACGAAAGCGUGGGGAGCAAACAGG